GGCGUGUGACUGCGUACCUUUUGUAUAAUGGGUCAGCGACUUAUAUUCUGUAGCAAGGUUAACCGAAUAGGGGAGCCGAAGGGAAACCGAGUCUUAACUGGGCGUUAAGUUGCAGGGUAUAGACCCGAAACCCGGUGAUCUAGCCAUGGGCAGGUUGAAGGUUGGGUAACACUAACUGGAGGACCGAACCGACUAAUGUUGAAAAAUUAGCGGAUGACUUGUGGCUGGGGGUGAAAGGCCAAUCAAACCGGGAGAUAGCUGGUUCUCCCCGAAAGCUAUUUAGGUAGCGCCUCGUGAAUUCAUCUCCGGGGGUAGAGCACUGUUUCGGCAAGGGGGUCAUCCCGACUUACCAACCCGAUGCAAACUGCGAAUACCGGAGAAUGUUAUCACGGGAGACACACGGCGGGUGCUAACGUCCGUCGUGAAGAGGGAAACAACCCAGACCGCCAGCUAAGGUCCCAAAGUCAUGGUUAAGUGGGAAACGAUGUGGGAAGGCCCAGACAGCCAGGAUGUUGGCUUAGAAGCAGCCAUCAUUUAAAGAAAGCGUAAUAGCUCACUGGUCGAGUCGGCCUGCGCGGAAGAUGUAACGGGGCUAAACCAUGCACCGAAGCUGCGGCAGCGACGCUUAUGCGUUGUUGGGUAGGGGAGCGUUCUGUAAGCCUGUGAAGGUGUGCUGUGAGGCAUGCUGGAGGUAUCAGAAGUGCGAAUGCUGACAUAAGUAACGAUAAAGCGGGUGAAAAGCCCGCUCGCCGGAAGACCAAGGGUUCCUGUCCAACGUUAAUCGGGGCAGGGUGAGUCGACCCCUAAGGCGAGGCCGAAAGGCGUAGUCGAUGGGAAACAGGUUAAUAUUCCUGUACUUGGUGUUACUGCGAAGGGGGGACGGAGAAGGCUAUGUUGGCCGGGCGACGGUUGUCCCGGUUUAAGCGUGUAGGCUGGUUUUCCAGGCAAAUCCGGAAAAUCAAGGCUGAGGCGUGAUGACGAGGCACUACGGUGCUGAAGCAACAAAUGCCCUGCUUCCAGGAAAAGCCUCUAAGCAUCAGGUAACAUCAAAUCGUACCCCAAACCGACACAGGUGGUCAGGUAGAGAAUACCAAGGCGCUUGAGAGAACUCGGGUGAAGGAACUAGGCAAAAUGGUGCCGUAACUUCGGGAGAAGGCACGCUGAUAUGUAGGUGAAGCGACUUGCUCGUGGAGCUGAAAUCAGUCGAAGAUACCAGCUGGCUGCAACUGUUUAUUAAAAACACAGCACUGUGCAAACACGAAAGUGGACGUAUACGGUGUGACGCCUGCCCGGUGCCGGAAGGUUAAUUGAUGGGGU
rnacentral:rRNA from 1 species